GAUGAACGCUGGCGGCGUGCCUAAUACAUGCAAGUCGAGCGAACAGACGAGGAGCUUGCUCCUCUGACGUUAGCGGCGGACGGGUGAGUAACACGUGGAUAACCUACCUAUAAGACUGGGAUAACUGCGGGAAACCGGAGCUAAUACCGGAUAAUAUAUUGAACCGCAUGGUUCAAUAGUGAAAGACGGUUUUGCUGUCACUUAUAGAUGGAUCCGCGCCGCAUUAGCUAGUUGGUAAGGUAACGGCUUACCAAGGCAACGAUGCGUAGCCGACCUGAGAGGGUGAUCGGCCACCCUGGAACUGAGACACGGUCCAGACUACUAAGGGACGCCGCAGUAGGGAAUGUUACGCAAUGGGCGAAAGCCUGACGGAGCAACGCCGCGUGAGUGAUGACGGUCUUCGGAUCGUAAAACUCUGUUAUUAGGGAAGAACAAAUGUGUAAGUAACUAUGCACGUCUUGACGGUACCUAAUCAGAAAGCCCCGGCUAACUACGUG
rnacentral:rRNA from 1 species